GGGGGCUCCCAGACACAGCAUCCGACUGUCGAUAAGCGGAACCGAACCGUCUAUAAAAACGACAGUCUACACACGGGAACGUGUACGUGUGUACUAGGUUAUCAGCUGGUCCUGGCACCGUGGCAUCAGAGCCAGAUCGAGGCACCUGCGGUGGAUGAAUGGUUUCGGUGCUCGGAGGAGACAUGGGACGCUGUCCAUGUGCACCCACAACGGGUCAUCAGGCGGCAGAAGGCGAGCGCCGACCGCCACCGCAGUGAGGCCCCGGUGGAUCGGGUCUGGCUCUCGACCCGAAACCUGCCCCUUCGCCUGCCCUGCCGGAAGCUGGGUCCGUGGUUUGUGGGGCCAUUUAAAGUCCUGAGGAGACUGAACAAGGUUUGUUAUAGGUUACAGCUCCCCCUGAUUACCGUAUUAACCCCUCAUUUCAUGUGUCUCUCUUCAGGCCGGUGGAGGCUUGUCCGCUCCAGGAGUCUGAUGUGCGGGAGGUUUCUCCGCCCCCUCUGGACAUCGAGGGGGCCCCGGUGUAUACUGUUCGAGCCAUCAUGGACUCAAGGAGUCGGGCAAGGGGCCUUCAGUACCUCGUGGAGUAGGAGGGGUACGGUCCGGAGGAAAGAUGCUGGGUGCCGGUGGAGGACAUCCAGAACCCUUCGUUACUGCGGGAAUUUCACCGUCUCCACCCGGAUCGUCCUGCGCCUCGUCCUCCAGGUCGUUCCCGAGGCCGGUGUCGGCGCACUGCUGGAGCCGCGCGUCAAGGGGGGGAGGGGGGUACUGUCACGACUUCCACCGAAGUUGGUGCCUCUCCUUGUUCGGGUGGCGUUCAACGGUCUAUGUCACCAGUUUUCUAGCUGCCACCGAUCUACGUUUCAUUGUCCAUUUGUUUUGUUUUUAUUGUACAUACCUGGUUUCCAUUACAUUAUUAUUUAUUCCCUUUUUAACCCUCUGGUUCCCACAUGGUUUUGUGCGUGUUUGUUCGUUGAUAAGUGUUCGCUAUUUCUGUGAGCUGGUAUAUUUUCCCUGCAUGGAAUUAUUUUGUUGUUUAUUCGAGUAAAGUACGUUUUUUACUCA